UCGGGUUCGGGGUGUUACAAUAUUAGCUUUGAAUCGAAGAAAUAGUGAAGAAAGUAUAUAGUUUUCUAAUUUAGAAAUUGAAAGGGUUGUUAGUUGAUGUGAAAUCAUGAAUUUAUAAUCACUUGUUGAAAUAUGUGUAUAUGAUUUUAUCUAGCUUAUUUCAUACGAGCUUACUAAGCUUUAUAGCUUACAUCAUUUAUUUUUCUAUGUUUUAUAGUGUUAUCAAGCUAGCUCAGAUUCAGGGAUUGUCAGAGAUCGCUUCACACUAUCCACUUAUCACUCGG
rnacentral:lncRNA from 1 species